GGGGAAUUUUCCGCAAUGGGCGAAAGCCUGACGGAGCAAUACCGCGUGAGGGAGGAAGGCUCUUGGGUUGUAAACCUCUUUUCUCAGGGAAGAAUUCAUGACGGUACCUGAGGAAUAAGCAUCGGCUAACUCCGUGCCAGCAGCCGCGGUAAUACGGAGGAUGCAAGCGUUAUCCGGAAUGAUUGGGCGUAAAGCGUCCGCAGGUGGCAAUGUAAGUCUGCUGUCAAAGCGUCUGGCUCAACCAGAUAAAGGCAGUGGAAACUACAUAGCUAGAGUAAGGUAGGGGUAGGGGGAAUUCCUGGUGUAGCGGUGAAAUGCGUAGAGAUCAGGAAGAACACCGGUGGCGAAAGCGCUCUGCUGGACCUAAACUGACACUGAGGGACGAAAGCUAGGGGAGCGAAUGGGAUUAGAUACCCCAGUAGUCCUAGCCGUAAACGAUGGAUACUAGGCGUUGCCCGUAUCGACCCGGGCAGUGUCAUAGCUAACGCGUUAAGUAUCCCGCCUGGGGAGUACGCAGGCAACUGUGAAACUCAAAGGAAUUGACGGGGGCCCGCACAAGCGGUGGAGUAUGUGGUUUAAUUCGAUGCAACGCGAAGAACCUUACCAGGGCUUGACAUGUCCGGAAUCCUGACGAAAGUUAGGAGUGCCUUCGGGAGCCGGAACACAGGUGGUGCAUGGCUGUCGUCAGCUCGUGUCGUGAGAUGUUGGGUUAAGUCCCGCAACGAGCGCAACCCUCGUUCUUAGUUGCCAUCAUUAAGUUGGGAACUCUAAGGAGACUGCCGGUGACAAACCGGAGGAAGGUGGGGAUGACGUCAAGUCAGCAUGCCCCUUACGCCCUGGGCUACACACGUACUACAAUGCUAUGGACAAAGGGCAGCAAGCCAGCAAUGGCAAGCAAAUCUCAUAAACCAUGGCUCAGUUCAGAUCGCAGGCUGCAACUCGCCUGCGUGAAGGUGGAAUCGCUAGUAAUUGCAGGUCAGCAUACUGCAGUGAAUUCGUUCCCGGGCCUUGUACACACCGCCCGUCACACCAUGGAAGCUGGUCACGCCCGAAGUCGUUACCCUAACCUUUCGAGGAGGGGGACGCCGAAGGUAGGACUGGUGACUGGGGUGAAGUCGUAACAAGGUAGCCGUACCGGAAGGUGUGGCUGGAUCACCUCCUU
rnacentral:rRNA from 1 species